AGAGGCCUAAACCUGCCAUCCUUGCCCAUUUCGUUGGCAGCUUUGCCAUUUGUUGCAACAGCCCAAUUGUAUGGGCUUAAGCCCAGUUCGGCUAAGGUUAGUGUACGUAUGAUGUUAUGGCUUUGCACAAAACUCCAAAGCAAAGAAACCCUACCUCUCUUUUUGAACUAUGACGGCAGACGAUACCUCCUCUCUUCAUCGAAGUUGCACCUCCUCAAUUCUGGAUUUGGUUGAUCAAAUUGUGUUAAACAAGUAACUAAUCCUACCGAGCAAACCGAAGGGCGUUAGGCAUCUUGGUAUUGGGAAGCUUGCUAUCUGGGAGUGCUGGAGUGGUCAUGGA